rnacentral:rRNA from 1 species
CUACGGGCGGCAGCAGUGAGGAAUAUUGCACAAUGGGGGGAACCCUGAUGCAGCAACGCCGCGUGGAGGAUGACGCAUUUCGGUGUGUAAACUCCUUUUAUAUGUCAAGAAAAUGACGGUAGCAUAUGAAUAAGCACCGGCUAACUCCGUGCCAGCAGCCGCGGUAAUACGGAGGGUGCAAGCGUUACUCGGAAUCACUGGGCGUAAGGGACGCGUAGGCGGGUUGGAAAGUCAGGUGUGAAAUCCUACAGCUUAACUGUAGAACUGCACUUGAAACUUCUAAUCUAGAGUAUGGGAGGGGGAGAGGGAAUUAGUGGUGUAGGGGUAAAAUCCGUAGAUAUCACUAGGAAUACCUAAAGCGAAGGCGAUCUCCUGGAACAUUACUGACGCUAAGGCGUGAAAGCGUGGGGAGCAAACAGGAUUAGAUACCCGAGUAGUC